GGUUAACCGUAUAGGGGAGCCGCAGGGAAACCGAGUCUUAACCGGGCGUUAAGUUGCAGGGUAUAGACCCGAAACCCGGUGAUCUAGCCAUGGGCAGGUUGAAGGUUGGGUAACACUAACUGGAGGACCGAACCGACUAAUGUUGAAAAAUUAGCGGAUGACCUGUGGCUGGGGGUGAAAGGCCAAUCAAACCGGGAGAUAGCUGGUUCUCCCCGAAAGCUAUUUAGGUAGCGCCUCGUGAAUUCAUCUCCGGGGGUAGAGCACU
rnacentral:rRNA from 1 species